UGCCCCAUCGCAUCUGCCCUAGCAAUCACCAUCGGCCAUCGUCACGAAGUCAAGUGUCGCCGCCAUCAGCAAGCCGCAUAGGGCACCUAGGACUGCUGCACAAGUCCCUCAGCUGGUCAUCCUUACCUCUGGAAUCUCCUUGCCGAUCCAUAUCGUAGCCAGGUCCGUAGAAGCCAAUAGCAGGAGGUUGGGCAAUCAAGAUCGAGAUUUGGUUUAGAGAACGAGAACCAUUUUAUCGGUGUUGAAGAUUAAGAGGGCUAUGACCAGAAGAUAACUCAAGGUUCUCUAAAGGAGUUGCUUUGGAUAUAAAGCAAGC